ACCACUUUCCUACUGCCUCAGUUAUCUAUUUCAGGUCAAUAUGGAUUAUUUUGGCCUGGAUUGUCUUGAAAUCCCAAUUUUGUUAUGUACCUCUAUUUACCCAAGAGAGAAAAGUUUAUGUAUCACUGCAAAGGUCUCAACGAUUGCUUUAGAAUCCUGCUCUGCAGUCAGAGCUGGCUUUUCAAGCUGUCUGUUUUGAAAGAAUGCCAGAAAACACCCCUGAAUAAUUACUGGUAUAAUUCUGGAACUCUGCUUGCUGUGGUUUUUGGUGUAGCAUUGUAGCUCUGCAACACAAACGUCCAUCCUCCGAAACUGAGAGUGAAUGGAUGCGGUUUGCUGAGUCUCAUGGGGUCAAUCACCUCUGGGCAGCCCAUGUCCUCAGAGAGCAAGGGACUGGCUGUGGAGGGAGACGCUGUUUGCUUCCUUUCAUUUUCAGUGUGGAUUAAAACCCCCAAUAUUUUUUAUUGCAAGCUUAUUAGAUUUUAUUUGUGUCCAUAAAUAGUUUUAAGAAGAACUUAUGUGAAGCAAGUAAUUUGAGAAACAACUAUUUUGGCUUGUGGCUUUGAAUUCUCUCCUCUUUGCCUUCAUUCUAUGCCCCCAAAUUUAUUUCUAAUUCUAAUUUUUUUUUUCUGGUAGAGAAGGAUGAGUUGAUGUUUGUGUUUUGAAGGAUCUUUAUAGCCAUUAUGGUUCUAAUCGUGCCUUGAAAGGAGGAUCCCAGAAAAGGACUGAAGAUCACUUGGUAUGAGAGGUAGAAAAUCCUGGUAUCAAAUUCUGAAACCAUGGCUAAUGGCUGCAAACUUGCUUUUCAAGUCCAGUCUAUCCUUUCAAGAGGUCAAGAAAGUCCACUCUGAGAUUUUAAGUUGAUCAAUAGUGUCUUUGUUUGAGGCUAUAUCCUCUUCUAGAGCAAUAAUUCAAGGCUCAAAUUGGUGGAAAAAAGCUGAAAGGAU